rnacentral:lncRNA from 1 species
AUGAUCCCGCCAGACAUGGACCCAGCGGUCUCUGAGGAGAGGCUCAGGAGGGAGAUUAUGGACAGGGUUUACAGACUCUGUGAGUUGUGGUGGGAGAAGCCCGCAGAAGGGUUGCGUCGCGCCGUGGGGAGGCGGCUGCAGGAGACGCUUUUUAAAUUCCCUUGGCUGGUUGACGAUCUCAAUCCUGUCGUCAUGGACUUCCUGCUUUCCACCCUCCACCUCCACUCUCCUCCUCAGGCUGCUCACCAGCCCAGACAGCUGGUGGAUUCAAAGCCUGACACGCCGGCCCCGACGUCUACCCGGAGACGACGUUUGCGCCGCCAGCGUUCCUCACCGCAGCCUAAUCCACGGACAUCUCAAGAGCCGGCUGUGGUGAGCAAUACGGACAUUUUUUCAUUUCCCUCACCAUCUGUUUGUGUGUCUGCAGUGGACGAUGACGCUGCCGUAAGCCAUCCGACGGCGCAAGUAACAUCACCUCGGUCAGAGGUCUCCACACCACUCGCUGCUUCACCAUCUGCAGUUGUAGCGCCGCCGUCAUCUCAUCCGCCUGCAGUCACCCUUCUGCCAUCUUCUUCACCGGCUGCUACGUCACCACUCGGACCUGUCCUGCCCGAGCAGGAGCUCAGCUCGCCGGAGCAGCUGCCGGAGGAGCUCAAGAAGCCGGAGCCGCUCAGGGAGCCGGAGCUGCUGCUGGAGGAGCUCAGGGAGCCAGAGCCGCCGCCGCUGCGUUGCCAGCGGAGGAGCUCGACCAGCGGGAGGAGCCUGUGCUGCCAGCGGAAGACCUCGGCAAGCCGGUGGGACCCGCUCAGCCGAAGCUGGAGGUUAGCGAGCUGGAGCUGGAGCUCAGUGAGCAGGAGCAGGAGCUCAGAGAGCGGGAGGAGCCCGCACCGCCAGCUGCGAAGCCCUGCGAGCCGGAGCAUUAGCUCGGAGAGCGGGAGGAGCCCGCACCGCCAGCUGAGGAGCUCAGCGUGCCGGAGGAGCCAGCGCCGCUGCCGGAGGAGCUCAACGAGCCGGAGGGACCGGCGUUGCCAGCAGAGGAGCUCGGCCAGCGGAGGACCUCAGCAAGCCGGAGGGACCUCCACGUCUAGCGCACCCUCCACGCCAUCCACGUCCAGCGCGUCCACGUCAGCGACCAGCGCGCUACACUGCUGCUCACUGUUGCUCGCCGGAGCAACGUCGUUGCCGUCGGACCCGGGGCAAGCCACCGGAGGAGCAGCACUGCCGCCACUGGACCCGGGGCAAGCCGCCGGAGGAGCAGCGCCGCCGCCACUGGACCCGGGCCAGGCCACCGGAGGAGCAGCGCCGCCGCCUCGGGAUCAGGGGAAGGCCACCAGAACCGUUUCGCCGCUGCUGCCGGACCCAUGGCCGCCCGCCGGAGCUGCAACGCUGCCGCCAUUGGAGUCCGCUGAGCCAUACCAUGGACUCAGCGGACUCAGCCCCCACCCAGCAGCCGGUCAUCUCUCCAGAAGCUAUUUUGGAUCGGCACAAACAAAUGUUGCAGCACAUAAAUCAGCUUCUGGUAAGCCCACCCAAACCAUCAGCGCCUGUCUCUUCGCAGUUACUGGCUCAUGAGCCUCCUGCGCCCGGGCCUCCCGUUUCUUCGACACCUGCUCUUUUGGGUGGAUGAACACAUGCGAGCAUGUCGCGGAGCUAGAGACUACAACUCCCAGAGGCCUCUAGGACAUGGGGAAAUGGCCUCUGGCGGAGGCGCGGCCAGUGGCGUGGGAAAUCGGGACAGGAAUUAUGAGGACGAGGGUGAGCAACCCAUGCAAAUAGGGCACUCCAGAUUAUCCCCUGAGGAGCGACAACGUCGGUGGAGGGCCGGUGAGUGCUUCUACUGCGGCCGCAGAGGCCAUAUUGCCAUCUCUUGUCCAGCGCAGCCAAAAGAUUGCACCCGCCAGUCGAGAGGAGAGUACGGGUGGGCGAGGUUUCCUGUUCACGGUCUCCUGAAUCAUUUCUUCAACAGAUUUGAUUCAGCCAUGAGGCAGUCUUCAACAGCGGCUGCAGACUCACCCACCCCCACUGCUGCUGUUCCACCUCUGACACCUCAGACAAUUCACACCUCCUCUACUCACCCUGCUCACUCCUCCCCACCCCCAACAACAGCAUCCAAUACACACUCAACACAAGCCUCCAGCCUGUCUCUACUCAACCACCCAGGUUAGGAGGGAACUGGGGAGGAUUAAAGCCAAGAUGGCAGCAGGCCCAGAUGGCAUCAGCUCAAGGGUCGUCAGGUCCUGCGCAGACCAACUGUGUGGGGUGAUGGAGCACCUCUUCAACCUGAGCCUGAGGCUGGGGAGAGUCCCACAGCUCUGGAAAACCUCCUGUGUUGUACCAGUGCCAAAGACUUCACGCCCCAAGGACCUCAACAGCUACAGGCCGGUGGCUCUUACAUCCCACCUGAUGAAGACCCUGGAGCGGCUGGUCCUGGAGCGGCUGGUCCUGGCUCAGCUUCAGCGUCUGGUGAGCUCAUCACUGGACCCACUUCAGUUUGCCUACCAGCCUGGCAUUGGAGCGGAUGAUGCCAUCAUUCACCUCCUACAUCAUUCCCUCGCUCACCUGGAGACCACUGGGAGCACUGUGAGAAUCAUGUUCUUUGAUUUCUCCAGUGCCUUCAACACUAUUCUUCCCAAGGUCCUGAAGGACAAGCUGGAGAACUCAGGAGUGGACCAUCACCUUACUACCUGGAUUUUGCAGUACCUCACCGACCGACCACAGUAUGUGAGGACUCAGGGCUGUGUGUCGGACAGGGUCGUCUGCAGUACGGGGGCCCCACAGGGAACGGUUCUGGCUCCGUUCCUCUUCACCAUCUACACUGCAGACUUCUCCCACAACUCCACCCAGUGCUUCCUGCAGAAGUUCUCUGAUGACUCUGCAAUAGUCGGCCUCAUCACUGAUGGGGACGACAAGGAGUACAGAGGACUGACCCAAGACUUUGUGGACUGGUGCCAGCUGAACUACCUCCAGAUCAACGCCAGUAAAACCAAGGAGCUGGUGGUAGACUUCCACAGGCACAAACAUCCUCCAUUGCAAUCACUGAACAUACAAGACAUUGAGGCUGUGGACAGCUACAGGUACCUUGGUGUUCAUCUGAACUACAAACUGGACUGGACUCAUUCAGACGCCCUCUACAGGAAAGGGCAGAGCAGGCUGUACCUGCUGCAGAGACUCAGGUCGUUUGGAGUAGAGGGCCCACUCCUGAAGACCUUCUAUGACUCUGUGGUGGCCUCAGCCACCUUUAAGGUGUGGUCUGCUGGGGUGGCAGCAUCUCUGCCAGGGACAGGAAGAGACUGAACAGGUUGAUCAGAAGGGCCAGCUCUGUUCUAGGAUGCCCUCUGGACCCAGUGGAGGUGGUGAGUGACAGGAGAAUGGUGGCUAAGCUGUCAUCCCUGCUGGACAACAUCUCCCACCCCAUGCAGGAGACUAUGACAGCACUGAGCAGCUCCUUCAGUGGCAGGCUGCGGCACCCACGGUGUGGGACGGAGAGAUUUCGCAGGUCUUUCCUCCCCACUGCUGUCAGACUCCACAACAAAGACUUCAACUGAUCAAACACACACAUGUGCAAUAACACUAAGUGCAAUACUCUUUUUCUGACAAAGCUGUAUUUUUACUCAGUUGUAUUGAUUUAUUGAUUUAUUGAUUAGCAUUCAAAUAUCUCAGUGAAUACAGAAUAAAGAUUACCACAAAGCAAGAAAGCACGAGACAAGGCUAAUCAAAAGGUAUUGGCUGAAGCAUUUGCUUAUUACGCCAGUUGUAUAAAGCAUUUGCAUUCUAUUUUUAUCCUAUUGUAUAUUUUAUUCUAUUUAUUCUACUGUAUAUAGUAUUUUAUUUUAUUCUAUUCUUUACAGUUGUGUACAGUAUUUUAUUCUUAUUGUAUUCUAAUUUUGCUAUAUAACUUUUGCACUGUCCACUUCCUGCUGUGACAAAACAAAUUUCCCACGUGUGGGACUAAUAAAGGUUAUCUUAUCUUAUCUCGUCUUAUCUUAUCUUAUCUCCACGUUUAAUGCUUGCGGCUAAGUUAACUGUUCACUCUGUUUCUCACCCGCUCCAUGCACUGAUUGAGUCUGGGGCAGAGCAAAAUUUCAUUGACGCCUCAUUUGCUCUCAAAGUUAAACAUGGAACCGCUUCCACACUCACUCCAAGUCACCGCCCCUCAGUGGUCAGCAUCUCCCGGAUAUCACCCACAUUACAGAGCCAAUAUCCUUUACCCUCUCUGGUAAUCACUCUGAAACUUUGUAGUUGUUUGUUUUCAAACCUCCUCUCACACCAUUAGUUUUAGGGUACCCCUGGUUACGUCAGCACAACUCUGUCCUGGACUGGAAGAAAGAAAGUAUUCUGGGGUGGGGAGAGGAAUGCCAUAUGUCCUGUCUAAAAGCCGCAACUCCACCCGUGAACCCGCAGAGUAACCCCCCACCUUCUGAGUCACCCGACCUUUCUUCUGUGCCUUCAGUCUAUCAUGAUCUUAAGCAGGUUUUUUGCGAAGAUAGAGCACGUUCACUUCCCCCUCACCGGCCCUACGUCUGCGGAAUCUACCUUCUCCCGGGCGCACCACUCCCAACCAGCAGAUUA